GAGCUACUAAAUACGUGGAUUACUUCCGUGAAGCGGAAAGAUUUUAAUCCUACGUCUUGCAGUUACUUUGCGGAAACCAUUUCCGACAAGAUGAUUACGUAGUGAACCCUGGAACGUGGAAGAAACGUCUCAAACCCGAAGCAGUGCCAUCAGUUUUUGACUUUCCGACACAUUUGAUGCCACCAAAUAAACAGCCACGACGACAUGUUGUUACGAUUUUGAGUGCCAACGAUGAUUCUCCAUUUGAGCGUUCUGUCAUGGAAUCCGUGCUCGAUUUUCCCAUUGCAGACGCUACUGAUUGCGGGGAGAAUGUUGUCAAUGAGAAUUCUUCCGUGGAAAGCAUGUCCCACUUAUCCAAUGCAGAAGCUGUGAAUUGUGUCGAAAACAGUGCAGUUGGUUCUUCAGUAAUUGAUUGUGGUAUACAGUCGAAAGUAGAAAUGGAAGACAUGGCGACCGAAACUUGCAUUAUAUUUCUUUUUUCCUCAGACAUUGUGCACUAAUUAAAACGUAAACUGAAGUGUGUCCGUGAAAAACUUCGAAGAAGGAAGUGUUUUCCAUUGAUGACAUCAUAAGUUCAUUGAAGGAGAAGGGGCAUCUUCCUGAGAAGUUACAUAACUUCCUCAAUCAUCAGAAAGGAACACAAGUGGAAUUAGUGUGCAAUGUAGUGAACACCUCUCUCUCGUCAAAGGGUAAUAGAUACACAACAAAUGUGAAAAUGUUUGCUAUGACUGUGUACUUUUAUUCACCAGCAGCAUAUGAAUACCAGCAAAAAUUAAUGCCUCUGCCCCAUACAUCAUUGAUUUCCAAAUGGGUGGCAAGUGUAGACUGUGAUCCUGGCUUCUUAAAAGAUGUUUUCAAGUACAUUGAUUUGAACCCAAUUGUAAGGGACCAGUUCAGCGAUUCAUGUCUAAUUGUAGACAGUAUGGGAAUUAGGAAGCAAGUAGUUUGGGACCAAGGAACUAAGCAAUACACAGGUUUUUUAGACUUUGGUGGGGAAGUGCCUCAGUCAAAAGAAGUAAUAGAGGCAU